CACCGAGUGCUUGCACUCACCGAUAAAGAGUUGAGUGGCGAACGGGUGAGUAACACGUGGGCAACCUGCCCAAAAGAGGGGGAUAACACUUGGAAACAGGUGCUAAUACCGCAUAACCAUAGUUACCGCAUGGUAACUAUGUAAAAGGUGGCUAUGCUACCGCUUUUGGAUGGGCCCGCGGCGCAUUAGCUAGUUGGUGAGGUAAAGGCUUACCAAGGCAAUGAUGCGUAGCCGAACUGAGAGGUUGAUCGGCCACAUUGGGACUGAGACACGGCCCAAACUCCUACGGGAGGCAGCAGUAGGGAAUCUUCCACAAUGGGCGAAAGCCUGAUGGAGCAACGCCGCGUGGGUGAAGAAGGUCUUCGGAUCGUAAAACCCUGUUGUUAGAGAAGAAAGUGCGUGAGAGUAACUGUUCACGUUUCGACGGUAUCUAACCAGAAAGCCACGGCUAACUACGUGCCAGCAGCCGCGGUAAUACGUAGGUGGCAAGCGUUAUCCGGAUUUAUUGGGCGUAAAGGGAACGCAGGCGGUCUUUUAAGUCUGAUGUGAAAGCCUUCGGCUUAACCGGAGUAGUGCAUUGGAAACUGGGAGACUUGAGUGCAGAAGAGGAGAGUGGAACUCCAUGUGUAGCGGUGAAAUGCGUAGAUAUAUGGAAGAACACCAGUGGCGAAAGCGGCUCUCUGGUCUGUAACUGACGCUGAGGUUCGAAAGCGUGGGUAGCAAACAGGAUUAGAUACCCUGGUAGUCCACGCCGUAAACGAUGAAUGCUAAGUGUUGGAGGGUUUCCGCCCUUCAGUGCUGCAGCUAACGCAAUAAGCAUUCCGCCUGGGGAGUACGACCGCAAGGUUGAAACUCAAAGGAAUUGACGGGGGCCCGCACAAGCGGUGGAGCAUGUGGUUUAAUUCGAAGCAACGCGAAGAACCUUACCAGGUCUUGACAUCUUCUGACAAUCCUAGAGAUAGGACUUUCCCUUCGGGGACAGAAUGACAGGUGGUGCAUGG
rnacentral:rRNA from 1 species